GUGUCUGUGCUGGGCAGUCAGGACUGGCAGGCUUUACUGAGCUGACCAAGAGGCCCCCUGACAGGAGCCAAUCAGUGUCCCACCCAGCCGUUGCCAUGGCUGCUCUAUGUACAGAGGCCGCUUUCACCUGAGGCGUUGCCAUGGCCACACUGUCUGUUAGGGCCGCAAAUGCGCAAAUGCGCAAAUGCGCAGAGCCAAGCUGGCUGCACCAAGCUCCCUCAGCCUGGGGCUCCGGAGCCGGAGCGUCCUGGCACUCUGCUCCAGAUGACACUCUAAGAUCUAAUAUUAUUAACACCCAUCAUGAACAGAAAGAAGCUGCAGAAGUUGACGGACACCUUAACUAAAAAUUGCAAGCACUUUGACAAAUUUGAGGUGAAAUGUCUUAUAACACUUUUCUAUAAUUUGGUGGGAGACGUAGCAGAGAGGCCAGGAGUAGUCACCGGACUAGAUCGUAAUGUAUUUCGGAACAUCUUGCAUGUGACAUUUGGAAUGACAGAUGACAUGAUUAUGGACAGAGUAUUUCGAGGCUUUGAUAAAGACAAUGAUGGCUGUAUAAGCGUAUCAGAGUGGAUUCAUGGAUUAUCACUGUUUCUUCGAGGGACUUUAGAUGAAAAAAUGAAAUAUUGCUUUGAAGUGUUUGAUCUGAAUGGUGAUGGCUUCAUUUCAAAGGAGGAGAUGUUCCACAUGCUGAAGAACAGCCUUCUCAAGCAGCCCUCUGAGGAGGACCCUGAUGAAGGGAUUAAAGAUUUGGUUGAAAUUACACUUAAGAAAAUGGACCAUGACCAUGAUGGGAAGCUGUCUUUUGUAGACUAUGAGAAGGCUGUGAGAGAAGAGAAUCUCCUGCUGGAAGCCUUUGGGCCUUGCCUGCCUGAUCCAAAGCUAAAAUAGAAAGGAGCCAAAUCACAACUAUGGAGACAAGUGCCUGGAAGAAGGAAACAAAUUUGAACUUCUUAAGAAAUAAUCACGUAAUUACCAUGAAGAGCCAAGAACUGAAAAUAAGCAUGUGUGUCUACACAGCAGCUCAGCUCAGGACCACUCAGUGGUGGCUCCAGCUGUGGGAACUGCUGACCAAUUCUCAGUGGCUGCCUGUGCACUCCUCUCUUCUGUGGGGAACUGCUGGAUGGGCACAGAGGGUACCUGCACAGCCUCAGACCAGUCGGCCACCUCAGGCUGAGCAGCAGUGAACUCAGGAGCUGGUGGAGUCCAUUUACCCUGGAAUUCCUCUUUGGUCACAGCCUUCUCAGCAGCAGCCUGCACCUCCUUCUCAAUCUCCUCUGGGUCUCUGUAGAAGUAAAGAUCAGGCAUAACCUCCCAUGGGGGCUCAUGGGAGAUAAUACCUAGUAUGCAGAGUACUUCCCUGGCCAGCAUCCACCACAUCAGACCCACUGAGUGAGCUCUCUUGUUGUUGCAUGGAAUGGCAAUGUCCACAUAGCACAGGGGAGAAUUUGUGUUACACAGAGCAAUGGUGGGCAGGUUGACAUACAGCCUCUGUGAGUGGCUGGUGGUCAGCCCUGGGAUCGGUCACCACUAGAAGCCGUGGCUCCCUGAAGGCUGCUUGAAUCUGGUUAGUGAAGGCCCUAGGUGUGAAGCUGCCUUCAAUUGGAGUGGCUCCCGUGGCGGCAGCAAACUUCAGCACAGCUCGCUGGCCAGUGUUCCUGGAGGAGAUGACGCUGACGUCAGCAGGGCUCUCAAUGGCAACAAUAGCUCAGGCUGCGAGCAGCAGCUUCUCCCAGGUCCUCUUCAGGUUUAUGAUGUAGAUACUGUCACUUUUCCUUUUGUAGAUGUACUGCUCCAUCUGCAAGUCAAGGUGGUGCCACCUAACUGGGUUCCUGCAGCAAGGAAUUUGAGGACAUCCUCCUUCUUCAUCUGCAGGACGUCAAGGGCUCCGGAUAUUGUCCUCUCAUCUUGAGAUACAUUUCUAAGUCCUCCCUGAAGAACCACAGCCUCUGCAGCAGAGGUCCGCCACCCAGUUUAUUGUCCAGUCCUGUUGGUUUUCAUUCAGAGCACCUGCUGGAUCACUGUUACCAUUUGUAAACGAAGAUUAAAUCUAGCUUCCCCACACUUUCCAUGUUGAAGAAGACUGACCGCUGCAACUAAAGAAUAACACCUGGACUGAGCCAUCCCAGUGGGACUGCUGGAUUCCAUGGUGUGAGAAAACAAGAAGAGCAAGCAUGGUGCACCCAGAUCAUGGGAACAGAACUGGGCUAUUCAUCCAGAUUCAAACAGGACCAUGGGCAGAGAGAGGAGAAUGAUACAUGGGAACCACAGGAGAGACUCAUGGCAGCAAGGACUAAAGCUUUAUUGCCAGGCAUACCCUGAGCUGUCAAGUUGCAGCCUGGAAUGUUUACAGCUAUGUUUUAACCUCCUGACAAUGAGACUCUGCAAUGGAAAGGCUGCCAGACCUUCAAAUAUAGUGAUGGCACUCUAAUAUUUAUAAGUACCUUAUACUCUUUCCAAACACAUGUGCUCAUUACUUAUGUCUCUGCUUCUGCCUCACUUCUGGAGAAAACUUUCUGUAUAAACAAAACAGAUUGGUCUGCUUGUACUUCUAAACUUUAAUUGCCUUCUACCUCCAUCUGCCAGAGGAAAGCCAGCCCCAGGGCUAAGUGACAAAGCCUGUCUAACUAUACAGUAUCCAGAAGCACACAGGUUGCUCCUACUCUUUUCACUGUCAGUACUGGUCAGUGUGCAUAUCUUUUAGUGUUUGCUUCUAAUUCUUUCUUUCAAUUAGGGAUGUGAGGGAACACUGGUCAGCAGGUUGGAGACAAGCCAUGAACCCAGUGACUCUGACAGAUUCUGACCAUCAGGCAGGUUUUAUGUAAAUGGAAGUAGGCACCUAACAUUAGUGAAAGGCCACUCAGACUUCUGACAGCUUAUCUGGUUCAACAUAAGUAGGAUUCCAGGCAAAUUGAUUGCUUAAUACUGAUGAGACAUGACAAGGAUUCCUUAGCCCUUCAGUGUAAAACUCACGACAAUUGUAUGUCUGCACUGGACUCUGACUGAGAUGCAGAGAUGCUGAGCAAUUGACAUAGUUAUGACCUGCAGAUGAGGAGACUAUCCUCAUGGUCACUCAGGUCACUCAGUAUCCGUCUUCUGGACAGAAUGAAGAGGGUGGAAAAAGGACAUCAAAUUUUUUCCAGGUUUGCCAAGGUCAGCUAGGUGCCUAACCUUCAGAAUUUUGGUGUAGGUUUGUACAGCAUGGUCUAAGACAACGGAAAGUGAAGACUUUGGAAGCAAUGUCAUUUCUAGAUUAUAAAUUCUUAAAGUCAGUGGAGAGCUGUAUCAUUGAGCCAACUUACCAAACCUCUCUGCACUCUGGAGACAUAACUGUGUAUUAACAAGGAUAGCUCCGAGACAAAGUUCUGAAUGCUCACAUACCAUAUGGGCACAUAGCAAGAUGGCACACAUCAUGUCACAAGCACAGCCACUCACAUCAUCUCUUAAAUUUCAGUUGGUAAAUCCCAGUGCUAAUGGAUUACAUGAUAAACCCUAAUGCUAAAGGAUCACAUGAUAAGUCCCAAUCCAAAGGAGUAUAUAAAAACACAGAGCAAUAGUCUUGUUCAACAGACAUUCUCCAAGGGUAUUUUAGUUAGUGUUUCUGUUGCUGUAGUAAAACCCCAAUGUAAAAGAAACUCAGGAAGGAAGCAUUUAUCUCUUACAGGUAAUAGUCCUUCAUGGAGGGAAACCAAGGCAGGAACCUGGAAGCAGGAACUAAAAUGAUUGCAUGGAAAACUGAUGCUCUAAAAGUAUUUGCUCAAGAGUGGCACUACACACAGUGGAAAAGGCCCUCAUGCACCAAUCAUUAAUUGAAAAAAUGCCCCCCCACACACACAUGCCCAGGGACUAAUCUCAGCUUCUCAGUUGCAUCUCUUUCUUCUCAGGUGUCUAUUGUUUGUGUCAAGUUGACAAAACUAACAGUACACAGGUUAAGAUAUUCAGGCAACUUGAAUGCAGCAAAGUAGUUCCCUAAAAUUCUAUCUCUUAUGGAAAACAGGAGAUUAUAGUCAUAACUUUAUAUCUGAUGUUAUUGACAGAAAGUGAGAUCUUGGGUAUCAUAAUCACAGGAACAAUAUAGUGCACAUUUUCCUUAAAGUCAAACAGUGCAGUUUUGAGAACUAGUCAGAAACCAAACUUCUUGAAAUAGUGCAAGCAUGGUUCAUAGUCACCAGCAGCCUCUGACAGCAUACACUGUAGGCAAGAAAUAUGGCCUGUGCCCAUCAAAUCAGUGAAGGAAAGUUAUUGAUGAUGAUUUAUGGGUGAUAAGACCAGUAACAUUAGAAGCAUGUCCAUGGGCAGCUCAGUUUUGAGUACAAGCUAUUAGCUGGGAAAUUGUCAUACGACAAUGUCAGACACUAUGCAUCAGUGGGUCUUCUGAGUAAGUGUCUGCUCUGUAUGGCUGUUUCAUCUAAGUAAACUUCUUCAAUGUUAAACUAAGUUAGUUAUAAUUUUGUAGCAAUUACCAGAAUUGGUAUAUACAGGCUCUCAGUGAUAACAAAAUGUGCCUUUGUCAUUUCUAAGGAAAAUUCAUGAUUUAUAUUUGUCCUUCUGAGGUUCCUAAGAAAACAUGAUGUGGGGAGAAGACUUAUGAGGGAUGAUUGGUCCCAAGGUCACGCUCAAGAAUCACAUGCAUUCAAGGGACAUGAAUUUCCUCUAGGAACUUGAGCAAAGUUGUAAGCCUCCACCAUCUUUCUGGAACUGCCUUAGGCCUCAGCCAGAGGAGUAUGAAUAUCAACAUAUUUUGAGUGACAUCUUCAGAGAAAGCUAUGUGGGUCCCAUGGAUACAUGUGCCUACCCAUCACUGCCAGUAGGUAUUUGUGGGAAUAGAGACUUUGCCACAAAUGUGGGCUGUGUUUGCACUCUAUCUGUCCUUAAAAACUUUCCCCAUAGUCCCCCCCCCCACCAAAGUCUAAUUGAAGCCAUUUUACAGACUGUAUAUGAGUGAUUGACUUCAAAUGGAUCUUGAAAAUAAACAUCUAGUGGUAUAAUUUUAUAGAAAUAUUUGGCAACACAUGAAGUGUAACACAAAUUACAAAUUUUAUGUUAAAACUAUUUUUCUCUGUAAUCCAUCAGAAUUUCCUAUGGCAGAGACAAUUGUAGGAUUGAAGAUUCAAAGUUAGUAAUGUAAAACAAUAUUAAGAAGUGUUGAUACUCUGUCUGGACUCCACCCCACAGUUACCUGGCAACAACCAGAUAGGCCUGGCUCACUAUAAGAGGGGCUGUUU